rnacentral:lncRNA from 1 species
AAAGUGCUGGGAUUACAGGAAAUUUCAAAAGAACAACAUAUCCAGCUCCUGGUUCAUUUACCUUCUCAGCCAUGAACUCUCAAAAUCAAAGCCAGCAAGUUGUCACCACCUGAAAUUAUCCCUCUCACAAAAUCCAUACAUCAGACGCCCACUGUCAAGAGACAAUUCUCCGUGGGUGUCUCACAUUUCUGCUCAUCUUGAAGGUAAGGUAUUGAUUAUCCUUUGCUGUAAACAAUCUGUAAAAGGAUGGACAUACAGAAAUUACUUCGAAGAAAGAGAGCCUCCCUCCAGAACAAGGGCAUGUUUGCUUACAACCUUGGAAGAUAGAUACAGUGCCUUCCUCCAGAGCAAAGGGCAAUCGUGUUUACUAUCCAAUGUAAUAAAUAUAAUAGCUUCCACUAAAGCAAAGGGCAGGUGUGCUUACUGAUCAUAUAAAAUGUUGGGUUCCCUAAACUUAAAUUUCUCUCCUAUAAUUAACCUGUUGAAUGUGUGGGUGUCAUCUGUGUCACUGUGUUGCCUUACGGAAAUUAGGGCUGAGAGAACUGGAGCAAGUUUGGUAACAUUCUGGCUAAUUCUAUUUCUGUGAGUAAUCAACCAUCUUCUACGUACAUCUAUAAAAGUGUGGCAGGCUAAUUAGUUACCUUGCAUAUAGGGUAAAAUCUCAGCCUCUUUACAGUUCUUAGCAUCCACUCCCUAUAUACUCUUACAUUCUUCCAUCUUGCCUGUUAAUCUUGCCUGCCUGCCAUCUUACCCCUUUCUUGGUCACUUAACUUGCACCAGGUGCAGAAUCCCUCUCUUGUCUUUAUUAAUUUCUAGUCAAUACCCUAAACCAUGUUGCCAGUGUAUCCUUUCAUUAACGUCACCUGGAAAAAUUUGAAUUUUUAUUAUUCCAAUUAUGUUCUUUGUUUUUUUUCAGGCCACUGAGAACCUCUGGGAGAAAAUAUGCAGCAGAUUGGUAUUAAUAUAACUUUUGUGAGCAAUGUCAGCUACUCCCUAACUGUUUUCUAGUCAUGUCUCUCUUCACUUUGGGAAGUAGCUUUCAAAUUUGUA